rnacentral:rRNA from 1 species
CCCUUAGAUGUUCUGGGCUGCACGCGCGCUACACUGAUGCGCUCAACGAGUUUACGACCUUGCCCGGAAGGGUUGGGUAAUCUUUUUAAAACGCAUCGUGAUGGGGAUAGAUUAUUGCAAUUAUUAAUCUUUAACGAGGAAUUCCUAGUAAGCGCGAGUCAUCAGCUCGUGCUGAUUACGUCCCUGCCCUUUGUACACACCGCCCGUCGCACCUACCGAUUGAAUGGUCCGGUGAAGCCUCGGGAUUGUGGUUCUUGCCGCUUUAUUGUGGCGUGACCGCGAGAACUUGUCUAAACCUUAUCAUCUAGAGGAAGGUGAAGUCGUAACA